rnacentral:rRNA from 1 species
UACGGAGGGUGCGAGCGUUAUUCGGAAUUACUGGGCGUAAAGCGCGUGUAGGCGGCAGGGCAAGUCUGGUGUGAAAGCCCGGGGCUCAACCCCGGAAGUGCAUUGGAAACUGCUCUGCUUGAGUACCGGAGAGGAAGGGGGAAUUCCCGGUGUAGCGGUGAAAUGCGUAGAUAUCGGGAGGAAGGCCGGUGGCGAAGGCGGCCUCCUGGGCCUGCACUGACGCUGAGGCGCGAAAGCGUGGGGAGCAAACAGG